rnacentral:lncRNA from 1 species
AGACGACGUAGUUCUUGUGCUCUUCCCGCCUCGCCUUUCUUUUCUUGGUUUCAAUCCUGGUGUUGCAAGCCAAUUCCCGGGUCUUGUUAGGCGGGAAACACAGACUGCAUUACCCAUGUUUGAAACUGGAUUUGCGCGUUUGGGAAGCAAGAAUGGGGUUACUCUGCUGGAAAAGCUUGACAUUGCAAAUGAGGGAUUUUUACCCUACGGUUCCACAAGUUCCCACUAAGUAUCUGGUACGCGGAAGAGAGGGACAAGGAAGCACAGAGGCUCAGAACAGUUCGUUGUUCACCUCGUCUUUCUACCACAUAAUUCUGCCUCUAGAAAUACAGGAGAAAGAGUAGCCACGCAAAGCUUCUAGUUUGAUUGGACCCUUGAGAAGUUAUCCAGAUGAAGAAACUGAAUCCCUCCUCUGGACUCAAAAAUCUGUGGGCUGGACUGGACCAUGAACCUCAUGCGUGCUUGGAGCAGAGCACAUAACACACGGUAUUCCCAUUGUCUGAAUCCCCUAGAGUGGGCUUCUUGACCGCAGAGACUGUAUUCUCUAUCUUUGAAUUCCUCACUUCUAGCACCGUGUCUGAUAGUAAGUGCCCAGCGAUGCUUGUUAAAGCAAUCAGAAUGAACAACAGAGGGGGAAAACAUUCGGAGGAAAAAUCCGUCUCUGAUCUCCCAGGACACGGCAAGGCAAAAUUAUCCAAAAAACCAAAAGUGAGCUUGACCUCAGUGUGUCUUUUUUAGGUGAACAAGUCACAGGCAAGCAUUUGCUGGACUGCCCAGAGCUAUCACUCCCAUCAUUGCUAUUAACAACCAUGGCUUGCUUAUUUUGUCUUGUUGGGGUAUUAGAAUGAGUUCACUCAUAAUUAAGUUCCCUGCUUUAAUUACAGCAGAAAUAAAAUUUAGGCAGCCCAGUGGCUUUGAUUCAGGUAUUUCAGGAAUGUUUUACUUUUGAAGUCUGAAGUAUUAAGGGUAGAUAAAAAACAGCAUCUUGUAUGAAGUUAAAAGUACAGGUUAUCUCAUGGAAAAAGAUGAAAUAUAAUUCUGUGUACCUUAUGAUUAUAAGGGUUCAUCAGAUUUAGUAACUGUUGGAAAACUAUCAUAUCUUUUUUGUAUCUUAAUUAUUUGGUUCUUUUCUCUGAAAAGACUAAAAAUACUGUGAACCCUUAAUUUCAAUGGCACAAAGAAUUGUGCGUUGCAUAUUUAUAAGUCAGCCACAGGACAAAGGGAAGCAAUAAAGAAUUAAACGUUACAUUCUCUUAAGAAAUAUUUUCUUUCAGUAUUACAUAAAUACCUUUGUGCUUUUCCAUUUUCUUUUUUUGAAACCAAGUAACCCUUUGACAUUUCAAAGUGAAAUAACUACACACACAAUUUUUAUACAGAGGCUAGGAUGACUUUUUUUUUUUUUUAGAACUAAGUGUAAUUAACCACACAUGGCAUAUUAUUCAUUGUCCUAUGACCUUUUUAAUUUAAUUUCAUAUUCUGAAAAUGUUUGCUUCUAAAUUUAGGCAGGAAAAUGAGAGAAUGUCAUGGCUGCUUUGCUGGCUGUACUUUAUAGAGGAUUAUACCUAGAUGAAUUUUCAAAUGUGGAUGUUUAAAAAAUGUAUGUACUUUGGCAUAUGUAAGGUUUAAUAGAGCCUAGUAAUUUGGAUUUACAAGAGACUACCCAUCCAAAAUCCUGAGAAAUUCUAAGUAGCUGUAAGGGGGAGGGCCUGGUGGAGUCAAUGAGAGGAAGCAGGCGGAGCAAGGGCACAAAUGGAGACCCACAUACCCUAUGUCCACAUACUUCGUAAUUAUAAAAAAGAAAAAAAAGCUCAAAACUGUUAAACAAGAUGGUCCUGUCCUUCUAACUUGACAAAUCAAUGACAAAAUCCCAAAACAUUGAUAAAGUUAUAGUCUCAAUAUGAUGAAAGGUGGCAAAAUAUCCAAGACGGCUGAAUUGUUGCACAUGUUUGGACGAGCUAGUGACAUUUUGUAUGAGAAACAAAAGAUAUAAAUAAUUCAUAAAUCAUUCAUUUAUUCCACAUUUUCUUAAUUUCAGCAGAUCACUGAAAUCUUUAUGGUCUUAAAAGAUUUUCAUGUAAUUUGUAUUCAACUGACAGUAUUAAAGUAAAAAUAAAGUAUAAUUGUAUUCAAAAUACU